UGAAGCGGCAACAGCUCAAAUUUGAAAUCUGGCGCAAGCCCCGAGUUGUAAUCUGUAGAGGAUGCUUCUGGCCAGCGGCCGUUCUAAGUUCCUUGGAACAGGACGUCAUAGAGGGUGAGAAUCCCGUAUGUGACCGGCGCGCAGCCUUUACGUAGCUCCUUCGACGAGUCGAGUUGUUUGGGAAUGCAGCUCUAAAUGGGAGGUAAAUUUCUUCUAAAGCUAAAUACCGGCCAGAGACCGAUAGCGCACAAGUAGAGUGAUCGAAAGAUGAAAAGCACUUUGGAAAGAGAGUUAAAAAGCACGUGAAAUUGUUGAAAGGGAAGCGCUUGCAACCAGACUUCGUAGCGGUGUUCCGCCGGUCUUCUGACCGGUCUACUCAUCGUCGCGAGGCCAACAUCGUCUGGGACCGCUGGAUAAGACCUAAGGAAUGUGGCUUCCCUCGGGAAGUGUUAUAGCCUGUGGUGAUGCAGCGAGUCCCGGGCGAGGUCCGCGCUUCGGCAAGGAUGUUGGCGUAAUGGUUGUCAGCGGCCCGUCUUGAAACACGGACCAAGGAGUCUAACAUCUAUGCGAGUGUUCGGGUGUCAAACCCCUACGCGUAAUGAAAGUGAACGGAGGUGGGAAGCGCAAGCUGCACCAUCGACCGAUCCUGAUGUCCUCGGAUGGAUUUGAGUAAGAGCAUAGCUGUUGGGACCCGAAAGAUGGUGAACUAUGCCUGAAUAGGGUGAAGCCAGAGGAAACUCUGGUGGAGGCUCGCAGCGGUUCUGACGUGCAAAUCGAUCGUCAAAUUUGGGUAUAGGGGCGAAAGACUAA
rnacentral:rRNA from 1 species